UGGGGAAUAUUGGACAAUGGGCGAAAGCCUGAUCCAGCCAUGCCGCGUGUGUGAAGAAGGCCUUUUGGUUGUAAAGCACUUUAAGUGGGGAGGAAAAGCUUAUGGUUAAUACCCAUAAGCCCUGACGUUACCCACAGAAUAAGCACCGGCUAACUCUGUGCCAGCAGCCGCGGUAAUACAGAGGGUGCAAGCGUUAAUCGGAAUUACUGGGCGUAAAGCGCACGUAGGUGGUUAUUUAAGUCAGAUGUGAAAGCCCCGGGCUUAACCUGGGAACUGCAUCUGAUACUGGAUAACUAGAGUAGGUGAGAGGGGAGUAGAAUUCCAGGUGUAGCGGUGAAAUGCGUAGAGAUCUGGAGGAAUACCGAUGGCGAAGGCAGCUCCCUGGCAUCAUACUGACACUGAGGUGCGAAAGCGUGGGUAGCAAACAGGAUUAGAUACCCUGGUAGUCCACGCCGUAAACGAUGUCUACCAGUCGUUGGGUCUUUUAAAGACUUAGUGACGCAGUUAACGCAAUAAGUAGACCGCCUGGGGAGUACGGCCGCAAGGUUA
rnacentral:rRNA from 1 species